rnacentral:tRNA from 1 species
AGAGGCUUAGGAUAAUCUUUUAAACCAAGAGCCUUCAAAGCUCUCAAUAAGGGCGAAAACCCUUAGCCCCUG